rnacentral:rRNA from 1 species
AUAUCCCGAAGGCGAUGGUUGUGCUUGCUUGUCUUGCGCUCUCACUGCUCUGACGGAUGCUUUUAUUAGACCAAACCGCUGAGGACUUGGGGGUUCGCUCUCUUGUCUGACUCGUUAUAUGGUGACUCUGGAUAACCAAAUUAUGACAAGCGCACGUACUUCUCUUCUGAGCGAGACGGCGCUGCCACUUUCGAGUGUCUGCCUUAUCAGCUAUCAACCGUUCGUUAUGCGCGACCGAUGGCUUUGACGGGUAACGGGGAAUCAGGGUUCGAUUCCGGAGAGGCAGCCUGAGAGACGGCUACCACGUCCAAGGACGGCAGCAGGCACGCAAAUUACCCAAUCCCAGCAAAUGGGGGAGGUAGUGACGAAAUCUAACGAUGCGGGCGCCCUUUCUGGGGCCCCGCAAUCGGAAUGGGCACUUUCUAAACAACCUGUUGAGAACCUACUGAAGGGCAAGUCUGGUGCCAGCAGCCGCGGUAAUUCCAGCUUCAGCAGCAUCUAUUAAAGUUGCUGCGGUUAAAAGGCUCGCAGUUGAAUGUCUGUAUCGAGCGCAGGUCAGGUGGACGUUGGGGCGUGGAAGUACGGGCAGUUGGAUGUUCGGAGGGCUUCGUGCUCAACGGCUCCUUCGGCUUUUCCACACACCCCCGUCCGUGACAAGCCUCCUCGCUCGGGUACAUAACGGGAAUCGGUCAAACGGAGUGUGGUCGGAGGUUGGGGUGCGUGACUUCGGUUGCGUGCUUCUUCUUUCGGCUGCGUCAAGCUCCAUCGGUUUCACGGUCACCUUGAGUAAAUCAGAGUGCUCAAAGCAGUCGUAGGGGCCUUGCGCCCUGUGAACAGUCUUGACGGACUGACUUGGUUUUGCAUGGCAUGUCGGAAGACGACGUCGUGUGCUGGCUCAGAGGAUAAAUCAGUGGUACAAGCCAGCCUCGACGUAAUGAUUAAAAGGGACGGUCGAGGGCAUUGGUAUUGCGAGGCGAGAGGUGAAAUUCUGUGACCCCCGCAAGACCUCCUGAAGCGAAAGCGUCUGCCAAGGACGUUUUCAUUAAUCAUGAACGAAAGUUAGAGGAUCGAAGGCGAUCAGAUACCGCCCUAGUUCUAACCCUAAACGAUGCCAACCAUCAAUCCGCGCGUAGCACCCUUCUUAACGGGCUCGGCGGGCAGCUCCCCACUCACGGGAAACCAGAGCCUCUGGGUUCCGGGGGGAGUCUGGUUGCAAAGCUGAAACUUAAAGGAAUUGACGGAAAGGCACCACCAGGCGUGGAGCCUGCGGCUUAAUUUGACUCAACACGGGCCAUCUCACCAGGCCAGCACUCUUGUACGAUUGACAGAUUGAGAGCUCUUUCUCGAUUCA